ACUACGUCCAUUUUUUUUUUUUUUACAGUCUAUGGUUAAGAGUUUAGGGUUCUUUAUUCCUGCCCUUUUGUUUUUCAAAUCUGUAACUGUCAAAGCACCUCAUUACUGAUUUUCUGGAGUUCAGUGAUACAACUACACAGACCGUCAACACACUCUCAACAGUUUUUUGGUCACAUGUAAGAGUGAGCAGCUCUUUUAAGCUGAGGAUACUUCUCUCCUCUUCUCCACUAAAUGCUGUCACAUCCUACAACCUCAUCAUCUGCAGAGAGAAACUGCCACUCAAUCACACCAAAAUAUGCAUAACGAUGGACUUUCAG